rnacentral:rRNA from 1 species
UACGUAGGGUGCAAGCGUUGUCCGGAAUUAUUGGGCGUAAAGGGCGCGUAGGCUGUGCUGUAAGUCAGGCGUGAAAGCCCCGGGCUCAACCUGGGAAUUGCGCUUGAUACUGCGGCGCUGGAAGGUGGGAGAGGAUGGCGGAAUUCCCAGUGUAGAGGUGAAAUUCGUAGAUAUUGGGAAGAACACCGGUGGCGAAGGCGGCCAUCUGGCCCACAAUUGACGCUGAGGCGCGAAAGCGUGGGGAGCAAACAGG